CAGUCGCCGCGGUAAUACGGGGGGGCUAGCGUUAAUCGGAAUUACUGGGCGUAAAGCGUGCGCAGGCGGUUCGUUAAGACAGAUGUGAAAUCCCCGGGCUUAACCUGGGAACUGCAUUUGUGACUGGCUAGCUAGAGUAUGGCAGAGGAGGGUAGAAUUCCACGUGUAGCAGUGAAAUGCGUAGAGAUGUGGAGGAAUACCGAUGGCGAAGGCAGCCCCCUGGGCCAAUACUGACGCUCAUGCACGAAAGCGUGGGGAGCAAACAGGAUUAGAUACCCCAGUAGUCCCUGUCUCUUAUACA
rnacentral:rRNA from 1 species